AAGACCUUUGCCCAUAGAUACAUCAGAAACCUUUGAAAACUAUCUAUUUCAAUCCUGUCCAAAACCAAACUAACAAAAGAAAAAAAAGGCACCAGAGCCAUGGCUGUGAUGUCAAAGCAAGAUCCAUCACCUGCCCUUGUAGAGACAGUACAAGAAAUCAUGAGACUUUACAGAUCACUUCCACCAAGGCCUUCCAUCGAAGAAGUUGAAGCAGCCAAGUGUGUUCUCCAAACUGUUGAAAAUGAAGAAAAACUCAAGCUUGAGGAAAUCUCAAAGGAACAAGCCGCUGAAGAUGUCCCUGAGGAACUCUUCUCUGUUCUGCAACAGGUGAGGAAGACCAUGGUGUUGUUUCAAAGCCAUGAGCAAAAAAAAGAAGCCCUUUACUUGGUUGAAGCUGACAAGAUGUUUGAGACCUUUGAUGGGUUGAUUCAAAGGGCUUCUUUACUGGUUUCCGGGGAUACCCAGGAUGAGAAAGUGAUUACUUUUGGGGAACAGGUAAGGAAAUUUGAGAGAGAAAGUUUGAUCAGUGAUGACAGUUUGGUGAAGAGAAAAGAAGAUGGUGGUGAAUUAAAUAAAGAUGACGCAAAGGGUAUAGGUAGAAGUUCUUCUACAAAGGCUUCUUUCUUUUCAGGUGAAGAUAGCAGUGAAAAACUAAAUCUAAUGAAGACAGCAGCCCUUAUUGAAAAUACUGCUAGAAGUGGAGCAAUAGUUCUUGAUCUUAGGGGCAAGUUAAUGGACCAGAUGGAGUGGCUCCCCUUAUCAAUUGGGAAAUUGAAGGAUGUGAGUGAACUGGACUUAUCUGAAAACCGUAUCAUGGCCCUGCCACCCUCCAUUGGUGGGCUUCAAGCCUUGACAAAGCUUGAUGUUCACUCUAACCAACUUAUUAACCUUCCUGAUUCAGUUGGGGAACUUGUCAACCUAAUAGAGCUUGAUCUCCACGCAAACUGGUUAAAGUCAUUGCCAGCUUCUUUUGGGAACUUGACAAACCUCGUGAAUCUAGAUUUGAGUUCAAAUGGGUUCACCCAUUUGCCAGAGACGAUUGGAAAUUUGGCCUCUUUGAAGAGACUAAACGUGGAAACAAAUGACCUUGAAGAACUUCCAUACACAAUUGGAAAUUGCUCCUCAUUAUUGGAGUUAAGAUUAGAUUUUAAUCAGAUAAAGGCUCUUCCUGAGGCAAUUGGAAAGCUCGAAUGCUUGGAGAUUCUUACAGCGCACUAUAACAGGCUCAAAGGGUUGCCAACAACGAUGGGUAACCUUUCCAAUUUAAAGGAGCUUGAUGUAAGCUUCAAUGAGAUUGAAUCCAUUCCUGAGAACCUGUGUUUUGCAGUAAGUAUCAAAAAAUUGAAUGUGGGGAAGAACUUUGCAGAUCUAAGAGCCUUGCCAAGAUCAAUUGGAAAUCUUGAGAUGCUUGAAGAGUUGGAUAUAAGUGACGACCAGAUCAGAAAUCUGCCAGAUUCUUUCGGAUUAUUGUCAAAAUUGAGAGUUUUUCGUGCUGAUGAGACUCCACUGGAAGUUCCACCAAGAGAAGUAAUCAAAUUGGGUGCUCAGGCUGUUGUUCAGUUCAUGGCCGAUCUUGUUGCUAAGAGGGAUACCAAGUCUCCACCAGCAAAGAAGAAGAAGAAGGGUUUUUGGUUCAGGAUUUGCUCAAUUUUUUGGCAUUUCCGGACUGCAAAUGCUAGGACCAUGUAACUAGUGAAUCACUACUCACUACUAUAAAUGUUUUCUUUGGCCUCUUGCGCCUAGCUCGAAAUGUUUUGGCAUCUUUUCAAGAGAUGUUCUACAUCAGUUAUAUUCCUUGUAAAUUAUUUGUGGGAUUGCAGAGCUCGCUGCAGAUGGUCCAAUUACUUGGUUCAAAUUCAAGUGAAAUGAGAAACAUUGGAACUGCGGGAUGAUAAAGCGUCUGUGAACAGUAUCAACGGAAUUUCAUCAGUAAUUAAUAUGGGAAAAAAUAUAUAUAAAAAAAUAGGGAAAGGGGAAUGUAUUGUUCUUCUUUGCAAAGAAGUUGUUCAUUGCUGUACAAAAUCAUUUUUAUCUAUUAAAGUUUUGCAGAAACUGAUUUCUUCCA